UGAAGUUGGUUCAGCAGCUGGAUCUGUCAGUUCUGUGGAUUCUCUAAGCGCUUUCCUUGGGGAAACCUGCCCAUUAGUGUAUAGUAUAGUGGGAAGGGAACUUGCAGACCCUGUCGGAGAGGAGGGCAGUUUUGUCAUAGUUUUGUUAUUAAUAAAAGACGGGGACAUUUAUACCCAUCAAUUUGACAAAAAAUAAAGAGAUGGACAAGGAAGAAAGCAGUACAACACCAAGAUUUUUAGACUACGAAGAGCAAAAACACGAAGAUGUCACACCAUGCAAGAAUCAAUCAGCUGAGGUAGCAGCAGAGCAAACCUCAAAAUGUAAAACAUUCCAGAAGCGCUGUGUAUCCCAGAAGUCAGAGAAAACAGAAGAAAUUUAUCAAGAUUACUAUCCAGAAUUAAUAAAGCCUUUGUGACCUGGAAAUUGAAUGUUAAAAGAAUUAAGACAGAGAAGAGCAGGUCAUUUUUACAUAGUCAUCUCUUUUGGGCUGAUGAGUUACUUCAAUCCUGUUUGCUUUAUAUAAGAGGACUCUGUGAAGAUGCCAUUAAUAUCAACAGUGAUAAUGAACAUGUGAAUAAUCCAUCUGCUAUAUGUCUUGUGAAGGUUGCAGAAAAGAAAGACAGUAAAGAAUAUUUUGAGUCAAAGCUGCCUGAAGAUGACACAAUGCAUUUCAAGCUGCCUAAAUAUCGGUGUUUUUUAGAAAUAAUUGCCAGGUUUCUCAUGCUAGUUGACUACAUGUUUCAAGAACUCAUCCGUCAGCUAAUGAACACUGCAGUCACACUACUUUUGGAGUUACUCAGUGGUUCUGCAAGCAUGCCAUUUUCAAUGGAA
rnacentral:lncRNA from 1 species